GACGAACGCUGGCGGCGUGCCUAAUACAUGCAAGUUGAGCGCUGAAGGUUGGUACUUGUACCAACUGGAUGAGCAGCGAACGGGUGAGUAACGCGUGGGGAAUCUGCCUUUGAGCGGGGGACAACAUUUGGAAACGAAUGCUAAUACCGCAUAAAAACUUUAAACACAAGUUUUAAGUUUGAAAGAUGCAAUUGCAUCACUCAAAGAUGAUCCCGCGUUGUAUUAGCUAGUUGGUGAAGUAAAGGCUCACCAAGGCGAUGAUACAUAGCCGACCUGAGAGGGUGAUCGGCCACAUUGGGACUGAGACACGGCCCAAACUCCUACGGGAGGCAGCAGUAGGGAAUCUUCGGCAAUGGACGAAAGUCUGACCGAGCAACGCCGCGUGAGUGAAGAAGGUUUUCGGAUCGUAAAACUCUGUUGGUAGAGAAGAACGUUGGUGAGAGUGGAAAGCUCAUCAAGUGACGGUAACUACCCAGAAAGGGACGGCGAACUACGU
rnacentral:rRNA from 1 species